rnacentral:tRNA from 1 species
GGAAGAGAAUCGUCUCCGGUGAGGCGCGCGGCCUUCAAAGCCGUUGAGAUGCCUAAUUGGUGUCUGGUGGGUUCGACUCCUACCUCUUCCGCCA